UUUACUAGAAUAUAGUUAUCCUACUUGGAUAACUGUGGCAAUUCUAGAGCUAAUACAUGCAAAAAAGCUCUGCCCGCAAGGAACGAGCGCAUUUAUUAGAAUAAAAACCAAUCGGGUUUCGGCCCGUAAUUUGGUGAAUCUGAAUAACUUUGCCAAUCGCACAGUCCUAGUACUGGCGAUGUAUCUUUCAAGUGUCUGCCUUAUCAACUUUCGAUGGUAGGUUAUACGCCUACCAUGGUAGUAACGGGUAACGGAGAAUAAGGGUUCGACUCCGGAGAGGGAGCCUGAGAAACGGCUACCACAUCCAAGGAAGGCAGCAGGCGCGCAAAUUACCCACUUCCAGAACGGAGAGGUAGUGACGAAAAAUAACGAGACAGUCCUCUUCGAGGUCUGUCAUCGGAAUGGGUACAAUUUAAAUCCUUUAACGAGGAUCUAUUGGAGGGCAAGUCUGGUGCCAGCAGCCGCGGUAAUUCCAGCUCCAAUAGCGUAUAUUAAAGUUGUUGCGGUUAAAACGCUCGUAGUUGGAUCUGCGGCCUCGGAGAACGGUCCCCCGAAAGGGUGGUCACUGUCUCUCCUAGCCUAAAUUCAAGUCUUCUCUAGGUGCUCUUUACCGAGUGCUUAGAGUGACUAGAACGUUUACUUUGAAAAAAUUAGAGUGCUUAAAGCAGGCGAAAUAGCCUGAAUAAGGUGCAUGGAAUAAUGGAAUAGGACCUCGGUUCUAUUUUGUUGGUUUUCGGAACCUGAGGUAAUGAUUAAGAGGAACAGACGGGGGCAU
rnacentral:rRNA from 1 species